rnacentral:rRNA from 1 species
UGGGGAAUAUUGGACAAUGGGCGCAAGCCUGAUCCAGCCAUACCGCGUGGGUGAAGAAGGCCUUCGGGUUGUAAAGCCCUUUUGUUGGGAAAGAAAUCCAGCUGGCUAAUACCCGGUUGGGAUGACGGUACCCAAAGAAUAAGCACCGGCUAACUUCGUGCCAGCAGCCGCGGUAAUACGAAGGGUGCAAGCGUUACUCGGAAUUACUGGGCGUAAAGCGUGCGUAGGUGGUCGUUUAAGUCCGUUGUGAAAGCCCUGGGCUCAACCUGGGAACUGCAGUGGAUACUGGACGACUAGAGUGUGGUAGAGGGUAGCGGAAUUCCUGGUGUAGCAGUGAAAUGCGUAGAGAUCAGGAGGAACAUCCAUGGCGAAGGCAGCUACCUGGACCAACACUGACACUGAGGCACGAAAGCGUGGGGAGCAAACAGGAUUAGAUACCCUCGUAGUCCCUGAGCGGGCUGGCAAGGCGCAU